rnacentral:rRNA from 1 species
AGUGAACGCUGGCGGUAGGCCUAACACAUGCAAGUCGAACGGCAGCACAGUAAGAGCUUGCUCUUACGGGUGGCGAGUGGCGGACGAGUGAGGAAUACAUCGGAAUCUACUUUUUCGUGGGGGAUAACGUAGGGAAACUUACGCUAAUACCGCAUACGACCUACGGGUGAAAGCAGGGGAUCUUCGGACCUUGCGCGAUUGAAUGAGCCGAUGUCGUAUUAGCUAGUUGGCGGGGUAAAGGCCCACCAAGGCGACGAUCCGUAGCUGGUCUGAGAGGAUGAUCAGCCACACUGGAACUGAGACACGGUCCAGACUCCUACGGGAGGCAGCAGUGGGGAAUAUUGGACAAUGGGCGCAAGCCUGAUCCAGCCAUACCGCGUGGGUGAAGAAGGCCUUCGGGUUGUAAAGCCCUUUUGUUGGGAAAGAAAAGCAGCAGGUUAAUACCCCGCUGUUCUGACGGUACCCAAAGAAUAAGCACCGGCUAACUUCGUG